rnacentral:piRNA from 1 species
UGCCAAGGAGUCCCCUAAACUGUGCAUAGC